AAUCAGCAGAGCCCAUUCUCUUCAGCCACAGUGAUUGGCUGAGGUCUGGGCACGUAACCAGUCGCGUGCCAAAGGUCAGACCUCCGGGAUGGAACCCUGGGGGAACAGAAGCUCUAUUUCUGUUAGGUUGCUAGAGUGGUUGGUGCCAUCUUGUCACCUUGAAGGGAAAGCCCACCCAAGAAUGACACCAACACAGAGGGAAGUAAACAGAGCCAAGAGGUCAGCAGAGGUGGUUCCUGGUGCCAUUAUCCAGCACCCAGCUACAGACCAGAGCUUCAUAAACCUAUUUCUGACUGCAGGGAGAGGCCUAUACUAGUCCACGUCAUGGAACACCUAUGGAUCAACACUGGUCAGGAGGAGACACGAAGGCCAUACCGGGAGCUGCUCUCUGAUUACCAGGACUCCUGAAACACAGAGCUCAUGGUGUCCGUGGGAUAUGAGGCAGACCACAUCCAGUCCUUGUUAGAACAAAAAUUUGAUGAUACCAUGGCCUGGUACUGAAUCCUGGGCUACAGGAAACCUGAUGCAGGGCUCCAUCAUCACAGCAAAGUCUUUGCCUUCAGUGGAUCCCACCCAACAGCUACUAGCCUUCCCCAUCACCUGAAAGAAACUCUUAUGCUUUAACAUACAAAACUUGUUAAAAACAUUGGGAAAAGGUG